rnacentral:lncRNA from 1 species
CAAGGCUGGGGUGAUCGGUCUAGUAGGCGGCCCGGAUACUAGGGCAGUUUAGGGCCUCGGUUUAUGGAUCCAUGGGUCUUCUUAGAGAGAGAAAUAGGGAGAUGAGAGAGAAGGAAGAGAGAAAAAAUAAGAAAGAGAAACAAGAGAGGGAUAACUCUCUCUCUCCUCCUCUUUUUCUUUUCUUCUUUCUUUCUUUNNNNNNNNNNAAAUAGGGGAGGAAGGGAGGUGGGCUAUUAGCUACCAUGGUCAUGAUCAGGCGAAGCAGCAGCAGGCGGUGGUGGCGGCCAGCAAAGGGCGGUCAGCGGCGGCAGAUGGCUGGUUGGAUUUAGCCCAAAAAAAAAUACAAGGCCAAGCAGGAGGAUCUGCGAUCCAAUCAAUACCAAACACCGGUCGGCUUGUUGGUGGCUGGAUCUCCAGCAUCUAGUUAAGGAUAACGGC